rnacentral:rRNA from 1 species
CCCUUAGACGUUCUGGGCCGCACGCGCGCUACACUGACACAGGCAACGAGCUUUCCUUUACCGAAAGGUAUGGGUAAUCUUUUGAAACUGUGUCGUGCUGGGGAUAGAUCCUUGCAAUUUUUGAUCUUAAACGAGGAAUUCCUAGUAAGCGCGAGUCAUCAACUCGCGUUGAUUACGUCCCUGCCCUUUGUACACACCGCCCGUCGCUACUACCGAUUGAAUGGCUUAGUGAGGCCUCAGGAUCUGCGCUUAAUGUGUGGAGAAUUUGGACAAACUACGUCAUUUAGAGGAAGUAAAAGUCGUAACA